rnacentral:rRNA from 1 species
AUACGAAGGGGGCUAGCGUUGUUCGGAAUUACUGGGCGUAAAGCGCACGUAGGCGGAUAUUUAAGUCAGGGGUGAAAUCCCAGAGCUCAACUCUGGAACUGCCUUUGAUACUGGGUAUCUUGAGUAUGGAAGAGGUAAGUGGAAUUCCGAGUGUAGAGGUGAAAUUCGUAGAUAUUCGGAGGAACACCAGUGGCGAAGGCGGCUUACUGGUCCAUUACUGACGCUGAGGUGCGAAAGCGUGGGGAGCAAACAGGAUUAGAUACCCUUGUAGUCC